GUUUAUCAUGAUUCAUGUUAACAAAUCAGUUGCUCGUAUGGAACAUGGCAGUUCAAAUCUAAGGAAAUUCCUGAAGUAAGUACAAACCAUUAUCGUGCAUGCCCGUAAAGUCAGGCGCACUACAAGGUGCAUGGUAUUAGAGAGUUUUCGAUUUAGCUACGCCAUGUAGAACUUGCUUGCUUGCUUGCUUGCUUACCUGCUUGCUUGCUUGCCUGCUUGCUUGCUUGCUUGCUCCCUGGUAGACUCGGAUCAAGUCCGUCUCUCUAGAGUCCGAGGGAGAGCGCGAGGUGCAAUAACGCGGGAAAGUUUGAGGGAGAAGACGGACUUGGCUCACCUGCAAGCGCGCCAAAUUUACCGACCCGUUUUUCCGUCGGUAACGCGUCAUAACUAGAUUGCAAUAAUUUAUGCUAAUUGCAAUAGAGCGGAAAUAACAAAGUAUCUUGUUUCAAAAUGUAUAGCAUGCUGUCUCUUCGUGUCCGGUUUAGUUUAUACUUAAAUGAUGAAUACGUUUUAAGAAGGUUAUUGUCCGACCUAUUGAUAUGACUAUACUAUGUAAAACUGCACAACUAGUGUCACACUAUUAUUUUUUUUACUUAUAUUAAGUGUCACGGCAAACUUCAUGAUCACACGAAAUUUUGAUGCAGUCAGGGAUAUUUUGUUCAGGACAAAUUUUGUGCAUGUAGUCAUAAUAACUAACUAGAAGAGUCUAUAGAUACGAUUUAAUAAAAAGUGUAUCUUUAAAUAUAAGGCUUAUAGUUAUAUAUUAAAGGCGUAUUUUAGUUUCGAUCGCGACGGGUAUUUUAAUAAUUUUGCCCUGACACUUGCGGUUUCCGUAUUUGUAACAAAACCGCUAAAUUAAAAACACCUGUCUAUUAACAUAAUUCCCGCCAAAAUAAUAAAUCUGAUUCGAAACAUUGCAGGUGAGCCAAGUCCGUCUCUCCCUCCUCUCUUGCACCUCGCGCGCCGCUUCGCGGCGCGCUCGAUCUCGUCGCUUCGCGACUCCAACUCUAGAGAGACGGACUUGAUCCAAGUCUAGCUCCCUGGUAGCUAGAGGAUCAUAAACAUUCACAAAGUUCGUACACUUCAUCCAGUUUCAUUUGUUUUAUAUUAACUUUAUUACCAAAUCAUGUGUAAAAAGUAAAUUCUCAUAUUUCAGUUACGAUGAGGAGAAAAUUUCUUGGUUGAGACAAAAGCGAACUCAUGCAUACAGAAAUCCCUGAAAAAAGACGAAAACGUUGUAAAUACAAGUAGUUUGGACAAGACCAACAGUUGCCAAAAUUGUACGUACUUUCCAUCAACACUCAAAGAAGUCAAGUGUAGAACGGGACAUGGUUUAAAUGUGAGGGGCAAAAAAAGUUGUAAUUAUCAUAUUGAUGGUGAUUGUAUUAACAUCGUAGCAACUAUAAAAGUAAUCAAAGCAUAUUCAAAGAAUCAGCAAGUAGAACGUGAUGUCCAUCUCAAGGUUGGAUGUGCGUGCAUGUUGCCGCCGGUUUAAGUUUUAUGAAGCUUCAUCAUCUUUGUUCUUUUCCUAAAUGUAUUGGGAACUCUUAGCUAAAUAUCCGUCUAAGCACGGUUGUUAAAUUGUAGUUAGGGCAUUUUAACUGGUAAAGAUUAAUUGAAAAAAGCAUUUUAACUGGUAAAGAUUUUACUGGUAAAGAUUAAUAGAUCUCAGUUUCGCAUGCAAAUUUUGUCAGUAUAAUUUAUUGCUUGAAUAUGUUACUGAACUAUACUCUAUAUAAUGAGAUGUGGAACACCUAAUUCGACUGACUGUACGAAGGCUGGAAGUCAAUUGUAAAAGGCUUAACUUUUUAAAUGUAAGGAGCAAAACAAGUUGUGAAUAUAAUAUUUCAGAUGCAUGAUUGGUUGGACAUCGUCGCAACAAUAAUAGUAUAUGGAGGGUGUACGUUGGUCAGCGACAGGGUACGUACACCACGUCAUGUCAGUCUCAAGGUUGGAUAUGUGCGUGCAUGUUGCCGUCCUUUGGAUAAAUCUUCAUCUUUGCUUUUUAUCUAACUGUAUUGUGGACUCUCAUGUAAAUAUUCGUCUAAACACCACUAACUAAUACCUCAAGAUUGUAGAUUGUAGUCCUGGCAUUUUAACAAGGGGAACUCAAUGGCACAGAAUUAAUUUAAUCAGAUCUUCUCAG